GCCUAAUACAUGCAAGUCGAGCGAACAGACGAGGAGCUUGCUCCUCUGACGUUAGCGGCGGACGGGUGAGUAACACGUGGAUAACCUACCUAUAAGACUGGGAUAACUUCGGGAAACCGGAGCUAAUACCGGAUAACAUGUUGAACCGCAUGGUUCAACAGUGAAAGACGGUCUUGCUGUCACUUAUAGAUGGAUCCGCGCCGCAUUAGCUAGUUGGUAAGGUAACGGCUUACCAAGGCAACGAUGCGUAGCCGACCUGAGAGGGUGAUCGGCCACACUGGAACUGAGACACGGUCCAGACUCCUACGGGAGGCAGCAGUAGGGAAUCUUCCGCAAUGGGCGAAAGCCUGACGGAGCAACGCCGCGUGAGUGAAGAAGGUCUUCGGAUCGUAAAACUCUGUUAUUAGGGAAGAACAAAUGUGUAAGUAACUAUGCACGUCUUGACGGUACCUAAUCAGAAAGCCACGGCUAACUACGUGCCAGCAGCCGCGGUAAUACGUAGGUGGCAAGCGUUAUCCGGAAUUAUUGGGCGUAAAGCGCGCGUAGGCGGUUUUUUAAGUCUGAUGUGAAAGCCCACGGCUCAACCGUGGAGGGUCAUUGGAAACUGGAAAACUUGAGUGCAGAAGAGGAAAGUGGAAUUCCAUGUGUAGCGGUGAAAUGCGCAGAGAUAUGGAGGAACACCAGUGGCGAAGGCGACUUUCUGGUCUGUAACUGACGCUGAUGUGCGAAAGCGUGGGGAUCAAACAGGAUUAGAUACCCUGGUAGUCCACGCCGUAAACGAUGAGUGCUAAGUGUUAGGGGGUUUCCGCCCCUUAGUGCUGCAGCUAACGCAUUAAGCACUCCGCCUGGGGAGUACGACCGCAAGGUUGAAACUCAAAGGAAUUGACGGGGACCCGCACAAGCGGUGGAACAUGUGGUUUAAUUCGAAGCAACGCGAAGAACCUUACCAAAUCUUGACAUCCUCUGACCCCUCUAGAGAUAGAGUUUUCCCCUUCGGGGGACAGAGUGACAGGUGGUGCAUGGUUGUCGUCAGCUCGUGUCGUGAGAUGUUGGGUUAAGUCCCGCAACGAGCGCAACCCUUAAGCUUAGUUGCCAUCAUUAAGUUGGGCACUCUAAGUUGACUGCCGGUGACAAACCGGAGGAAGGUGGGGAUGACGUCAAAUCAUCAUGCCCCUUAUGAUUUGGGCUACACACGUGCUACAAUGGACAAUACAAAGGGGGGCGAAACCGCGAGGUCAAGCAAAUCCCAUAAAGUUGUUCUCAGUUCGGAUUGUAGUCUGC
rnacentral:rRNA from 1 species